CGCAGCCGCGGUAAUUCCAGCUCCAAUAGCGUAUAUUAAAGUUGUUGCAGUUAAAAAGCUCGUAGUUGAAUUUCGGGAUCAGUACGCUGGUCGUGCCUUCGGUAUGUACUGGUGUUACUGGUUCCUACCUUCUGACGAACCGUCAUGUCAUUAAUUUGGUGUGGCGGGGAAUCAGGACUGUUACUUUGAAAAAAUUAGAGUGUUUAAAGCAGGCUCGCGCUUGAAUACAUUAGCAUGGAAUAAUGAAAUAGGACGUUUGAUCCUAUUUUGUUGGUUUCUAGGAUUGACGUAAUGAUUAAUAGGGAUAGUUGGGGGCAUUAGUAUUCAAUUGUCAGAGGUGAAAUUCUUGGAUUUAUUGAAGACUAACUACUGCGAAAGCAUUUGCCAAGGAUGUUUUCAUUAAUCAAGAACGAAAGUUAGGGGAUCGAAGACGAUCAGAUACCGUCGUAGUCUUAACCCAUAAACUAUGCCGACUAGGGAUCGGAUGAUGUUAAUUUUUUAAUUGACUCAUUCGGCGCCU
rnacentral:sRNA from 1 species